rnacentral:rRNA from 1 species
GAUGAACGCUGGCGGCGUGCCUAAUACAUGCAAGUCGAGCGAACAGACGAGGAGCUUGCUCCUCUGACGUUAGCGGCGGACGGGUGAGUAACACGUGGAUAACCUACCUAUAAGACUGGGAUAACUUCGGGAAACCGGAGCUAAUACCUGAUAAUAUAUUGAACCGCAUGGUUCAAUAGUGAAAGACGGUUUUGCUGUCACUUAUAGAUGGAUCCGCGCCGCAUUAGCUAGUUGGUAAGGUAACGGCUUACCAAGGCAACGAUGCGUAGCCGACCUGAGAGGGUGAUCGGCCACACUGGAACUGCGACACGGUCCAGACUCCUACGGGAGGCAGCAGUAGGGAAUCUUCCGCAAUGGGCGAAAGCCUGACGGAGCAACGCCGCGUGAGUGAUGAAGGUCUUCGGAUCGUAAAACUCUGUUAUUAGGGAAGAACAAAUGUGUAAGUAACUAUGCACGUCUUGACGGUACCUAAUCAGAAAGCCACGGCUAACUACGUG